rnacentral:rRNA from 1 species
UACGGAGGGAGCUAGCGUUAUUCGGAAUUACUGGGCGUAAAGCGCACGUAGGCGGCUUUGUAAGUUAGAGGUGAAAGCCUGGAGCUCAACUCCAGAAUUGCCUUUAAGACUGCAUCGCUUGAAUCCGGGAGAGGGAUGUGGAAUUCCAGGUGUAGCGGUGAAAUGCGUAGAUAUCUGGAGGAACACCGGUGGCGAAGGCGGCAUCCUGGACCGGUAUUGACGCUGAUGCGCGAAAGCCAGGGGAGCAAACGGG